rnacentral:rRNA from 1 species
GGGGAUAAGCGGCGGAAACGCCGUCUAAUACCGCGUGACAACCCGAGGGGGCAUCCCCUUGGGUUCAAAGGAGAGAUCCGGUACCGGCUGGGCAUGCGGCGCAUUAGCUAGUUGGCGGGGCAACGGCCCACCAAGGCGACGAUGCGUAGGGGUUCUGAGAGGAAGGUCCCCCACACUGGAACUGAGACACGGUCCAGACUCCUACGGGAGGCAGCAGUGAGGAAUAUUGGUCAAUGGGCGCAAGCCUGAACCAGCCAAGUCGCGUGAGGGAAGACGGCCCUACGGGUUGUAAACCUCUUUUGCCGGGGAGCAAGCCUGAGCACGUGUGCCCAGGCGGAGAGUACCCGGAGAAAAAGCAUCGGCUAACUCCGUGCCAGCAGCCGCGGUAAUACGGAGGAUGCGAGCGUUAUCCGGAUUUAUUGGGUUUAAAGGGUGCGCAGGCGGGCUGUUAAGCCGGCGGUAAAAAUUCAGGGCUCAACCCUGUCGAGCCGUCGGAACUGGCAGUCUUGAGUGGGCGAGAAGUAUGCGGAAUGCGUGGUGUAGCGGUGAAAUGCAUAGAUAUCACGCAGAACGCCGAUUGCGAAGGCAGCAUACCGGCGCCCAACUGACGCUGAGGCACGAAAGCGUGGGGAUCGAACAGGAUUAGAUACCCUGGUAGUCCACGCAGUAAACG